AGCACAUCAGCUCCUGGAAACAAAUGCACUUAACCAGAAAAACAGGGACAUCAACCAGCAAAGAUGCAUCCUCAUUUAAUAGAGCUUGAAAUUACUAUAAUCUGUAAAGUACAGCGAGAAGAAGAAGUUUCACCUGCCUGCACAUCUGUCGUUGACUCUCCAUCUGACUUGGAGGGACUCUGAGGGACCAACCUGAGCCUGAGAAGAGGCAAGAUUCCCCUUCAAGGACACACUGGGAACUUACGGACCUCUUUCUCCAUGGUGCAGAGCGCAGAGAAGACAGCAGGAAUCUCAUCUCUCCUUCUGCAUUCCAUUUGAGACAAGAUGUUUGAAUUGAAGCAAAUAAGAAACAUACAAAAAAAUGACAUAAGUAAAGAAGCUAUGGCCUCACCCCGAUAUGUUGCUGGCAGGAGAGACAACAGCAAACACAGGAAACUCAAGGAAAAUCAGUGUGGCUAGAGACAGAUGCUGAACUGGAGCCUGGAAUGAGUUGAGGCUGGAGAGGGAGGUAGGGCAAGACUCAGGCUGUGGCUGGGCUGAGUGGCUUUGUCUAUUCUCCAAGAGCAAAGGGAAGAACAUGGUCCCAUGACAGCACACUCUGGGAAAAUGAGACUUCUGAAUUGGGGACCUUGAAACAGGAGGGCCCACAUUACCAGCCGUGUAGGAAGCAUCUGUUCAGCAGCAGAAUGCGAAGAGGAUGGUGGGGGGCACUGCCUCCCUGUGUAACCAUAAUGGGUCCCUUACCCAAAAUAUGCAGCAAAUCAACACCUGGAGGCACGGGGUUGCAGCAGAGAAAGAGCUUUAAUCGUAAGGCCACCGAAGGAGGACAUGGGAGGAAACCUCAAAUCCAUCUCCGCCAGGAAUUCGGGGCUAAGGUGAACAAACAGACGCAUAAUAGCUCUUGAGCUUGCCAUUGGGAAGUGAAAAUCAACUGCUUGAAUAAAUGUAAGGACUCAGUCUCAGCGAAUUGGUUUUGUCUGUGCAAUGGGCAGGAAGAACGUGUCUGGUGAGCAUCUCCACACAUUCAGAAAUUGUCCAUCUAAGACAAUGGAGUUAUUUUCACCCUCAACAAAUGCCUCAACUCUGUGACAUUUUAAGCAAAUCUUAACUUUGACUUAUGAAUUCAAGAAGGAAAAAAAAAAAGUAAGAAAA
ensembl:lncRNA LINC00507 long intergenic non-protein coding RNA 507